rnacentral:tRNA from 2 species
GGAGAGAUGGCCGAGAGGCUGAAGGCGCGCCCCUGCUAAGGGCGUAUACCGUCAGGUAUCGAGGGUUCGAAUCCCUCUCUCUCCGCCA